rnacentral:lncRNA from 1 species
CCGGAGGCCGAAAGCGGAGCUGGCCGACCUGGACUUUCUGAUUUUCCUGGUUCCCGAAUCCCCACAUCUCGACAACACAGCUCCAUCCCCAUCCCCGAGAACCUCGAUCUUUGACCCGCCAGUAGGGGGUCGGAACCGUAUACAGCGAGUGCAUUAGUGUCCACGCACAUCUGUCUGUGGAAUGUGUGCAUCCGCAUGUCCCGAGGGGCUACUGUGUCUCUAGGAUGGGAGUGAGUGUGUGCCCUGUGUGUUAGUGCUGACUCCAUCAGAACUUCUGGUCCCUCCUCCUCCCUCCCUGAUUGCAUCAUUAGUGCUAAUUGAGGGGCUUUCACACGCCAGUGCAUUAGCUGUUUGGAGUGAGCUCCCCCCUCCUGCGAGAUAAGCUGCCGCCCCUCCCCCUCGUGGCUCUCCACUUCCCUAGGGCACUGAAACUGUCCACCGAGGUCGUCUCACUUCCUCAGGCUCCCUCCUGCUUUGCUCUGGGCAGGAAAAAGUUAUCUCUCUUCCUGCAGUGCCGUGGAUUCGGCUGGAGCGACGGCAUAUGGGGUAAAAUUUAG